UAUCCGUGAGGAUGCAGGUUCAAUCCCUGAUCUUGCUCAGUGGGUUAAGGAUCCGGCAUUGCCAUGGGUUGUAGUGUAGGUUGUAGACGCGGCUCGGAUCCUGUGUUGCUGUGACUGUGGCGUAGGCCAGCAAGGAUAGCUCCGAUUAGACCCCAGCCUAGGAACCUCCAUAUGCCGUGGUUUGGUUAACUUCUUUAUGUCUCAGUUUGCACCUUCACUUAGUCACCAUAAAAUGAGGAUAAUAGUCACAGCUCCUUCAUAGGUUAGUUGGGACCAUUAAGUGAUGCACAGAAUGUAGGUCUCUUAGCCCAGUGCCCAGUGCCCAGUAAACAAGAGAUAAGAGACAAAGGUUAGCUCUGACAGUAAUUCUGAGUGUGCUACUAGCUCCCUGCCUUGCCCACCUAAAUCAAGGGAAGGACAUGCUUUUCUACCAGGCCAUCUGCCUUCAUUGAUUCAACUAGACCCAGGUAAAUGUUACAUCCAGUGUAAAGCCUGUCUCUAAAAUUUUGUGUAGCCAAAGGGACUCUCUUACUGGUCAUGGCAUUUAUGCUGCUUUGUGAUACACUUUGUUUUUAAAUGUGGUGUUGUCAAUUGAUUUAAGUAUUUUAUUGGACAAUUUUACAAGUUCCACUGCCCCAAAGCUUUUUAAAGCAGGAACCACUUUUUUAAAUCAAAUAGAUAAAUGUAAAGUUGUUGCACUUGAAAUAACAGCAGUUACAAGCAAUAGGGCCAGAAUUUCCACUUGGGCUGUUUAACUAUUUCCCUGGAGGUUUUCCUAAAAUGUAGGGGAAGAGCAAUGGAGACAGGCGACUAAACUCCUAAGCUCUGAACUUGGUGUCACCCAGGUCCCCAAGUCCACUCCCCUGAAGUUGUUGCUGGGUCCACCAGGUACAUAGGGAUUUGCUCAUCCUCCUGGGAAGAGAUAGUCUGACCUUAACUAUUUCUUAAGUCCCUUUGAUACCAGUUGUAUCCCACAUCAGUGAUGGAAUAACGGAUAAUGAGUCAACACUUUAGACUGUUCCUGCAAACUGCUGCUUGUUUCUAUUUUGAAAGUGAGCUGCAAAUCACUUUCAUUUUAGUACAAAAGAGCUCUAUACUGUCAAAAAUAUAAACUGUUCUAUAGAUACACUUAAGAAUUUUAAAAGUCAGCAUCACUAGUAGUACAAUAUUCCAACCAUACAUGCCUCCUACUAUGAUGAAACAUGGAUCACUUUUGAAGUAUUCUUGACAAAAAUGUUUAUUUAACCUGAAUUGAACUAAGCCUUUGACCUAACUUCCAGUUUAGAAGGAGUAUAGAGGAUAGAGGAAAACAUUAAAUGGUACCACAAUAGAAUAAUCAGAAAAAUCCAGAAUGUGGGAAGUUCUAUAAGAUAACUGGCCUAGUCUCUUAAAAAAAGUGAUGUCACGGGGGAAAAAAUAGGGGAUGGGACCAGUUCCAGAUUAAAAGAGACCGGAAACACCAAAUGCAAUGCAUGACUUCAAAUGAAUCCUCAUUUGAAAAAUAACAGAUAUAGAAGAUAUUUCAAGGCCUAUUGGGGAAAUUUGAAUUUAACUAUCAGAUGACAUUAGAGAAUUACUGUUCAUGGUCCUUAUUGAUCAUACUGAAGAAUGACCUUUUUUUUAGGAAAUGAAUACUGAAAUAUUCAAAUAUGAAGCAUUACAUCCAAAUGAUUAGUAAAAUAUUAACAAUUAUGGAAUCUAGGUGGUUGCCAUGUGGGUAAAUAAUUGUACUACCCUUUCAAUAAUCGUGCAUGUUUGAAAAUUAUCAUCAUAAAAGAAUUUUUGAAAUGUUGGUUUUCCUGUGUGAACUUCUGAAAUUAUGAACAAUUUACAUGCUUGAGAAUUCAUAUUUCUACUUCAGGAACUGGGGAAGGGUAGGGGGAGGAAGGGCAUACCUUAAAAUAUGGCCUCUGUGCCCUGUUCAGUGCACUGUGUAAUUUCUAUGUACUCUUAGUCACCACUUCAGAGGAUAUAUGCAAUAGUCAUUCUUUACAUGUAAUGUAAUCUUUCUGAAGCGUUUAAUAAGCAAACAGACCAGGGAUACAAUAUUUCAUGUGUGGUUGUAUCUGGCACAUUAUUUAUCAGACAGAGCCUAUACAAUUCUCCUUCACUUCCCCUGAUCAAAUAUCAUGCUUCCACACCCUUCUGUAAUGCAGAUUUCAAAGUCCUAGACCUGUUAAAACUGGGGUCAUCUUUCUGUGUUUCUCAUAAGAAGAUUAGUUUCUAAAUCCAAGAUGAAAGUUCUUGAGCUCUUGGUACAAUAAUUGAUAAAGAAAAUAUAUCUUGGAACCAAACAUUUGGUUUAAUCACUGGGGUAAGGGAGGGGAGAGUCACAUGAUGGAUGAAAUAGAAAGGAGCCAGGAGUUGUUUAAAUUGGCCAAGCCAGCACUAUUUGGGGUUUCUGUGUCAUCCAUGAGUCAUAAUAUUCAAAGUUAUUGCAAUCACAAGUAUAUGAGGUCAACAGUGGUGCUAUAACUCUUACUGUGCUUGUCCUCAGGUGUUAUACCAAAACAGGGCACAAGUGUACAUUAAAUUGUUUCAGGCAGGGGCCAAGGAGGAACGAAAACCCAGCACCUGAACAACUGCAUAACUGAGUAUAUUCUGAAUUGUUCUUGUGUGGAGGUUUUAUUCCCCUGGAAAACACUUCGGUCUGCCACUUUCUAUAAAGCACUCUUCUACUAGCAAAAUGAAUCCCUGCAUUGCAAGACCUCAACAUAGAAUCUCAUCUCGGCCCCUCUGAGACACCUCAUCAAGAGAGUAUUUUAUUCUUUCCUUUAAACCCUCAAAAGAAAAUUGUAGACAUUCCAUGUGGUCACUCUUCCUUUUAUUCUACGGAUUUAUUAACUUCCCACUGGAUGGCAAGCACUGUUCUAGGCCCUUAGAAGAGCGCAGACAGAGUGAUCAAGAUUCAUCAAGAUUUCUGCCCCCUGGAGUUACAGUCCAGUGGGAGAGUGGAGGCAGGUUAACAAUGGAAAAAGAACAACAAAGACUGGAAGUGAGGGCAACCUACCUUAGACACUGUGGUUCAGAAAGGCCCCCUGAGAAGGUGACCUUGGAAUUAAGACCGUUGAUCAGAGUCACCCAUGUGCAGAUCUGAGCAACGUCAUUCCAGGCAGAGGAACCAGUAAGCACAAAGGUCCUAGGGCAGGAAGAAGCCCGGUGGAUUUGAAGGACAGAAAAAAAGCCUGAGUUACUGAAGCAUGGUGAAUGACAGAGAAUAAAAUGAAAUGUAGGUUUUGGUUAGGCAAUUUGACUUUAUUCUAAUUGCACUGGGCAGCCAUUGGAGGGCUUGAAGCAGGAGAGUGGCAUGAUCUGAUUUAUACUUGAAAAAGACCUCUCAGGUUGACGCUUUUGAUCAGGGACUAUCUCCUCACAUUUAGCCCAAAUUCCUCCUGCUGCAAUUAAAGUGCUUCUUCUCUGCUCACAGUGAACAGAUGCUACCUGAUGCUGAUAUUAGUUCAGAUGACUGAGGAAACAUUAGAUGGCUCUAUCAGGAUCCCCAGAAGGCUGGAAUGAAUGUAGUAAGAAGGCUAGGGUGAUGAUCAUCAACCUGAAUUAGAAUCAGAGGCCACCGAUAAAAACAAAACCAAUUUCCUUCCCUGCUGAUGGUUGGGCCAGUUCUUUCCUGAGUCUUUCUCCUGCUCUCACAUUCUCAUUGAUCCUCAAACCCUACCUCCCCAACAAGCAAUCCAUGGCAUCAGCAACAUUAACAUAGUGGAAGAUUCUAUGCAUUCAUGGUAGGGAACAUAUUGUUGGGAUAAAAGAACAUAUUGUUGGGAUAAAAUAGGAUGGCUGGGACUUCCCCAGCAUAACAACAAUUUAAUUGGUGAAAACUGCAAAAAUUAAAAUCAUUUAAGGCCACCGGAAAUUAUCUUAAGGGCAUAGAGCAAAAGGAGAAAUAUUCAUUCAAGAUAAUAUACUAGGAGUUCCCGUCGUGGCGCAGUAGUUAACGAAUUCGACUAGGAACCAUGAGGUAGCGGGUUCGAUCCCUGGCAUUGCUCAGUAGGUUAAGGAUCCAGCGUUGCCCUGAGCUGUGGUGUAGGUCGCAGACGCGGCUCGGCUCCCGUGUUUCUGUGGCUGUGGUGUAGGCCGGCAGCUACAACUCUGAUUAGACCCCUAGCCUGGGAACCUCCAUAUGCCACAGGAGCGGCCCUAGAAAAG
ensembl:lncRNA